AUGCCCAGGAAGGAGGACGAGGCAGCCAGAGUGUUCUCUGCAGCAGAAGACCCCUUGCUGCCCUGCUUAACCCGGACCAGCAUUUGCCAGGCAACAGUGACCCACCCUGUCUCUGCAUCUGGGUCUCCGGGCCAAACUGUCAAACUCUCCUGCACCAGUGGAAGCAGCAGUGGGAGCUGCAGCAUCUAUUAUAACUGGAUUCAACAGAGUCCUGGACAGGCCCCUCGCUUUGUGCACUGUAACGGCUGCAACAGGGGAGAAGGGAUCCCGGACCAGUUCACUGCCUCUGCCUCGGGAACCACUGCCCAGUUAACCAUCACCAACGUCCAUCCUGAAGACGAGGCAGAUUAUUACUGUGCUGUUUGGGAUGGCACUGGUAGCAUGUUCCACGGUGGUACAAUCUAA